rnacentral:rRNA from 1 species
UACGAAGGGGGCUAGCGUUGCUCGGAAUCACUGGGCGUAAAGGGUGCGUAGGCGGGUCUUUAAGUCAGGGGUGAAAUCCUGGAGCUCAACUCCAGAACUGCCUUUGAUACUGGCGAUCUCGAGUCCGGGAGAGGUGAGUGGAACUGCGAGUGUAGAGGUGAAAUUCGUAGAUAUUCGCAAGAACACCAGUGGCGAAGGCGGCUCACUGGCCCGGUACUGACGCUGAGGUGCGAAAGCGUGGGGAGCCAACAGG